rnacentral:tRNA from 1 species
GGAGAGGUGCUCCGAAUGGUAAGGAACCAGUCUUGAAAACUGGCGCCCGCAAGGGCUUGCAGGUUCGAGUCCUGUCCUCUCCG